CGAACUCGGCAAACUCCAUGAACAGAGCAUAUGCAAGAACUCAACGUAGAAAAAACUUUCAAUUCUACAGCAGAAUUCUUCAUUCCAAAUAAAAUUUAUACACCCAAUAAUGACAUCCUCAAUUUCUUGGCUCGCGAUUGGGCUGUUUGGUUCACAGUGCAGUGAGAAAAAAAGGGUUUGGGCAUGGGGGCCUACAUGUUCAAAGCGGGUUGGUUUUUACGUACCGUGAAUUUGGUUGUCCGGUUUCUUGCCAGGAAGUGCUUGAAUCAAUUCAAGAUCCCAGUUUGGGAUAUAAAACGAGCCAUGGUUGAACAUUGUUUCCACGACAAAGUUGUUUGAGAAAAUGCCUCAAAGGGAUCCUAUUACUUGGAAUGCGAUAAUCUCUGGAUAUGUGCAAUGUGGGAAGUCAAGGAAAGCAUUUCAUUUGUUCCAUUUGAUGGUUAAGGUGAAUGAGGUGUAUGGUUUCUGUUUUGUUUGAUCAGUGGACAUGGGCUAAUACUUAUCUAGGCGGAAACAAGAUUAACAUGGCAGUGUGUGGGAAAUGUGGAAAUAAACAAGGCAAUGGAAGUGUUUUGGAGUAUGAAGAAUAAGAAUGUUACAUAUGGAGUAAUUACGUGGACGGAGUGGCUAUGAUGAUGCUGGUUAGAAGUCUUUUUUGUUUAUGAAAAAACGGUGUUGACUCAAAGAAUCAUGUUUAUCUUAGUUUCAAAGGAAAUGAGGUUCCAGAAUCGACCUGAAAAUUUGAUGAGACAGACGGGUCUUGAGGAUACCAUCGUGUCCAUGUUAGAUGGAAGAGAGGCGCUUAGGAAGAAGCGUUAUACAUAUAUCUUGCUUGUUUGACAAACUCAGUUAUAAAGGAUAUAUAUAUAGGUACUACAGGUACUUCAAAAAUAAUAAAUACGUAAAUUAGCACUUGCAAUGAAUCUAAGCAUUCAUAAAUCUUCAAAAUUCAAAUUAAUCUCAACAGUCCAUUGAAUGCCAAGCUUUUGAGCUUCUUUCAAAUGACAUCGAUAUGCAUGUUCUCUUUUGUGGCGCCGUCUUUCCUGAAUAUAAGACCUGCUGAUAGCCAGUCUACAUGGGGAAUCCAUGAAGGUUUUAACAAGUGGACUGGGGAGUGAGCGGGUACUAUCAAGAAAUUUAUUGCUCAACACGCCUUGUCUAUCUAUGUGUUGCAAGAAGAUUUCAGAUAGAUGCAACUCAUAAAUUAGCUCACCUUUUUAAUCGAUGUUCUUACUGAUGAACGUUCGUGUGCAUCUGCGGGGAUCGUACAGUUUAAGCUGUUGUGAUCUUUUGGUCGGAAUCAAAUCUUUGAUUUUCGACAAUAAUGGAGUUCAAACGGUAUAGGGUUUUACUAUUUUUCUUGAGAGAUUACGGACAGUAAACUCAAAUGCAGAGUUCAUGCUUCUAUAGCCCGAGUAUUUUUUACUUGCAUUUAUUUAGAUGAUAGACUCGGC